rnacentral:tRNA from 1 species
UGUACGCCUUGAGCGGUUUGUUUCUGCCGACCUUGCGGGUGGGCAGUCGCGCUGAGCGUUGGCUCGGUCCGGUGUGCGGCGUGCUGACGGGCGUC